CUGGACUGCAUCGCCUUGGAAAAAAAUUUACCCAGGCUCCAAAUCAGUAUAUUUGUACCAUAAUUCUAGAUGGAGACAGAAUGGUAGGACGGAUGGAGAUUUACAGAAGGUGGCUUUUCAUUCUGACACUUACUUUUGUCUUUGCUUGAGUGACAUGUGAAUCGGUUGCAGAAAUGUGUGUCAGCAGCGAACUAAGCCUCCAAGCUUCAAGGAGGUUUCUUACAAAAGUCGUCGGGAGCGGCUUUCUUGCUCAGUCCUGCCGAGAUUUUAAAAUUGUGCAACAAAAUAUAUUCUCCAGUUGACGGUGUGUACAUCAUGGCUCUCCAGUGGGAGAUUCUGCCUGUAAGGGAAUCUGGGGUCCUCCUGUGGCUCAGCUGGCAAAGAGUCUACCUGUAAUACAAGAGACCUGGGUUUGACCCCUGGGCUGGGAAGAUCCCCUGGAGAAGGGAACAGCUACC